GCCUCUAUGGCGCAGUGGUACCGCGUCGCACUUGUAAUGCGAAGAUCCCUAGUUCAAUUCUGGGUGGAGGCA